rnacentral:rRNA from 1 species
CUGCAUAGCUAGGAGGGGAGAGGUAGACGUANUCAGUAGGUAGGGGUAAAUCNUUGAUCUAUUGAUGACCACCUGUGGCGANGGCGGUCUACCAGAACACGUUCGACGGUGAGGGAUGAAAGCUGGGGGAGCAANCCGGAUUAGAUACCCGGGUAGUCCCAGCUGUAAACGAUGCAGACUCGAUGAUGCAUUGGCAUAAUAGCCAUUGCAGUGUCGCAGGGAAGCCGUUAAGUCUGCCGCCUGGGAAGUACGUACGCAAGUAUGAAACUUAAAGGAAUUGGCGGGGGAGCACCACAAGGGGUGAAGCCUGCGGUUCAAUUGGAGUCAACGCCAGAAAUCUUACCCGGAGAGACAGCAGAAUGAAGGUCAAGCUGAAGACUUUACCAGACAAGCUGAGAGGUGGUGCAUGGCCGUCGCCAGCUCGUGCCGUGAGAUGUCCUGUUAAGUCAGGUAACGAGCGAGAUCCCUGCCGCUAGUUGCUAUCAUUAUUCUCAGGAAUAGUGGAGCGAAUUAGUGGGACUGCCGUUGUUAAAACGGAGGAAGGAAGGGGCUACGGCAGGUCAGUAUGCCCCGAAACUCUGGGGCCACACGCGGGCUGCAAUGGUAGUGACAAUGAGUUCCAAACUCGAAAGAGAGUGGCAAUCUCUAAACGCUACCACAGUUAUGACUGAGGGCUGUAACUCGCCCUCACGAAUAUGGAAUCCCUAGUAACCGCGUGUCAUUACCGCGCGGUGAAUACGUCCCUGCUCC